GAUGAACGCUGGCGGCGUGCCUAAUACAUGCAAGUCGAGCGAACAGACGAGGAGCUUGCUCCUCUGACGUUAGCGGCGGACGGGUGAGUAACACGUGGAUAACCUACCUAUAAGACUGGGAUUACUUCGGGAAACCGGAGCUAAUACCGGAUAAUAUAUUGAACCGCAUGGUUCAAUAGUGAAAGACGGUUUUGCUGUCACUUAUAGAUGGAUCCGCGCCGCAUUAGCUAGUUGGUAAGGUAACGGCUUACCAAGGCGACGAUGCGUAGCCGACCUGAGAGGGUGAUCGGCCACACUGGAACUGAGACACGGUCCAGACUCCUACGGGAGGCAGCAGUAGGGAAUCUUCCGCAAUGGGCGAAAGCCUGACGGAGCAACGCCGCGUGAGUGAUGAAGGUCUUCGGAUCGUAAAACUCUGUUAUUAGGGAAGAACAAAUGUGUAAGUAACUAUGCACGUCUUGACGGCACCUAAUCAGAAAGCCACGGCUAACUACGUG
rnacentral:rRNA from 1 species